UCUGGGGACAUGUCUGUGAAUGUUAAGUUCAAUUUUAGGGUCAAUACAUUUUGAUUGAAUUGAGCAAUUGUCAGCCAGAAAUUAUACCAUUCAUUUAUUCACAAUGGCACUAUAAAACUUCUUAUUAAAAAAAAACUUUUGGCUGAAGUAUUUCUCUGAACCCAAGAAAAAAGGCAAGGACUUCUGCAUUUCUUCUGUCAGUAAUUAGAUUCUGAGAGCAAGCUGCUAUGUGAUGUGUUAUUAAUAUGAGAGGUUCUCAUUGGGGAGGACAGGAACUGUCAGUCCUCACUGGCUGGAAGCUUACAGAAAAGUUUGCGCUCUUCAUCAAAGGCACUGGGUGGCGACCAACUAAAUAUGGCUCAGACCGAGCUUCUCCCAGUGUCCUGAGGGGUCUCCAACUCUUAGUCUCUUUUGUCACCUCCUCGAAUAAUUCCUCUUCUCUGUUUCUGGGAAAACGAAUAGGACCGAGGGAUGCUGGGCCCCGCUUUCUAGAGCUGGCAGUGCCUUGCCAUGUAUGUGAUGUAGGGCUAUACUGUUUAGAAGCAGGACACACGGGACAUUUCCUCAGUGUAGCCCCAUGGACACAGCCGGCUGAGGUUCAUUUCUGCAUCCGUUAUCAGCAACUGAAAGCAUUUACUAAGAUCGCUCUGUGAAUGCUUCAUUGUGACACUGGACACAAAGAAGGGAACAGAUGUGGCGGGCCAACCUCCAGGGGUUUGUCAUCCAAGGCAGAAGGAUAGACAGGGCAAACACAGAUGAGCGCUCAGGCAUGACCUGUGAGCCAGGACGCAGGUAUGACAGUUGGGAGUGACACAGCCCUGGAACCAAGGUGAGUUCCCCUCUGUACAUAAGGAUAUUUCUUUUAACCACAGGGUUCUCUCUAGGGCUCCUUUGAGCAGCCGGCUCUCUGUGCAUUUCUAAUAUGAUCUGAUUUAAAAAAACGUCUUGAAAACAACUUCUGCAGGAGCAUACUGACUGCGUACAGCUUGUGACAUUGGCACAGAGAUGAAGUCAAUAUCGAGCAGAAAGAGUCACCUCAUUGUCCAAGACGGCUGCUGGAGCAAUAUCACAUCUGCAUUCCAGGCUGGCAGCAGGAGGAAGCAGCAUGGGAAGAAAGGGCUCAGUUUCCAGAGCCAUCACGUGGUCUGAAGCCACUGUCCGUGGAAGGAUCAACGACCUUGCUGGCAGAGGAGAAUAAACCCUGGAAUAAAGCAGCUGGAGCUGCGAGCCAUCCGCCUUCAGCUAUUCCACAUUUUGUCGAAAAUCAUCAGCAUAGCUGGAAAAUAGCAGUGGCCAGCA